GAAUUUAUAUGAACAAAUACUAUUUGAUUUCGGGGAAGGUAUAUUGCAAGGUGUAGUCAAGUUUGCUGAUUUUACAAUUGAAAAUAAUUUUAGAAAUACAGGCUCGAAUGCAAAAGGCUGUAGAUAAUACAAAGCCUUCCUUAAGAAUACAAAGAUUUUAUAGGGAAAAACAAGUGUGCGUUGAAAAAAAUCAUUUAUAAAGACGAAAGAUUUACAAAUUAUAACAUGAUACAUCAGGAAAAUUACUUCCGAAUAAAUUGACUAUACAUAAUUUGACUGAUGAUUGGCUAAAAGCUAUUCAGGUGAUUUGGAAAACUACCCACUUAAAUGCAGAAAACAAUUGUGAUAUAAAUAAAUCAAUGUCGGAUUGUUUUCAAGAAAGAGAAGAACUUUGAUUGUGGCCAGCUCAGUUAAACAUAAUCAACGCUCCUCUGAGGUCACUAAGGGCAUCGUUAAGAAAUUUGUUAUUUUCACAGAUGUCUAUUCUUAUUACUUUAGACGAUUUGAUUCAGCAAUGGCAUUAUGCUUGUUUAUCAGACAGAAGUUUAUGGGUUGAAGCCAAAGAAACUAUUAGAAAUGUUAGAAAUGUUGUCCUCUUGUAAAUUUUGAUCUGUAAUACAA